GUGGGGAAUAUUGGACAAUGGGCGCAAGCCUGAUCCAGCCAUGCCGCGUGAGUGAUGAAGGCCCUAGGGUUGUAAAGCUCUUUCACCGAUGAAGAUAAUGACGGUAGUCGGAGAAGAAGCCCCGGCUAACUUCGUGCCAGCAGCCGCGGUAAUACGAAGGGGGCUAGCGUUGUUCGGAAUUACUGGGCGUAAAGCGCACGUAGGCGGAUAUUUAAGUCAGGGGUGAAAUCCCAGAGCUCAACUCUGGAACUGCCUUAGAUACUGGGUAUCUCGAGUAUGGAAGAGGUGGGUGGAAUUCCGAGUGUAGAGGUGAAAUUCGUAGAUAUUCGGAGGAACACCAGUGGCGAAGGCGGCUCACUGGUCCAUUACUGACGCUGAGGUGCGAAAGCGUGGGGAGCAAACAGGAUUAGAUACCCGAGUAGUCC
rnacentral:rRNA from 1 species